AGAUUGAACGCUGGCGGCAGGCCUAACACAUGCAAGUCGAGCGGUAGAGAGGUGCUUGCAUCUCUUGAGAGCGGCGGACGGGUGAGUAAUACAUCGGAACGUGCCCAAUCGUGGGGGAUAACGCAGCGAAAGCUGUGCUAAUACCGCAUAAGAUCUACGGAUGAAAGCAGGGGAUCGCAAGACCUUGCGCGAAUGGAGCGGCCGAUGGCAGAUUAGGUAGUUGGUGAGGUAAAGGCUCACCAAGCCUUCGAUCUGUAGCUGGUCUGAGAGGACGACCAGCCACACUGGGACUGAGACACGGCCAGACUCCUAGGGAGCAGCAGUGGGAAUUUGACAGUGGCGAAAGCCUGAUCCAGCCAU
rnacentral:rRNA from 1 species